rnacentral:rRNA from 1 species
AUUGAACGCUAGCGGGAUGCUUUACACAUGCAAGUCGAACGAUUGGCGGACGUGUGAGUAAUAUAUCGAAACGUGCCCAGUAGCGGGGGAUAACUACUCGAAAGAGUGGCUAAUACCGCCUACUAUUGGAUCUGCCGAUAUCGGAUUAGCUAGUUGGUGGGGUAAAGGCGCACCAAGGCCACGAUCCGUAGCUGGUUUGCGAGGACGACCAGCCACACUGGGACUGAGACACGGCAUAGACUCCUACGGGAGGCAGCAGUGGGGAAUUUUGGACAAUGGGGGAAACCCUGAUGCAGCCAUCCCGCGUGUAUGAGAAGGCCUUCGGGUUGUAAAGUACUUUUGGCAGGGAAGCGGUAUCUGCAGAAUAAGCACCGGCUAACUACGUGCCAGCAGCCGCGGUAAUUC